UACGAAGGGGCCUAGCGUUGUUCGGAAUCACUGGGCGUAAAGCGCACGUAGGCGGAUUUUUAAGUCAGGGGUGAAAUCCCGAGGCUCAACCUCGGAACUGCCUUUGAUACUGGAGAUCUUGAGUCCGGAAGAGGUAAGUGGAACUGCGAGUGUAGAGGUGAAAUUCGUAGAUAUUCGCAAGAACACCAGUGGCGAAGGCGGCUUACUGGUCCGGAACUGACGCUGAGGUGCGAAAGCGUGGGGAGCAAACAGG
rnacentral:rRNA from 1 species